rnacentral:misc_RNA from 1 species
GCUAAAUAUAGUUUUAUUAAUCGCUUAAUAUAAACCAGUUGUAAGCUUAAAUCAAAGAGACCAAAAAGUCAAUUGAAGAACAGCAAUCUCUAAGAACAGCAACAAUACGUAGUAAAAGGCAUGCAAUGCAGUUAAAUGAUUCUCUAUCGAGCAUCUAGCAAUGAGAGGGAAAUUUCAUUGGCUGAAAACGAUUCAAUAUUGCUGGAGGAUGUUUGUGCCUCAAGUGGACCUUUGUCCUUAAAA